CAAACCGACAGGAAUUAAAUAUGCAUUCAAUGAAUCCUGCUGUGAAGUGUUUGUUAGCAUGCCAACAUCCCAUGGCCACAUAAGCCUGUGGCUCAGGACCCAGCAGUGGGUAGCUGUCACGUAUUUCCAUUAAAAGAGAUCAUGCAGAGAGUUGCUGUCACACUUGCGUGACGUUCUAGCCUGGGCAGAGGACCCUCCUCACCGUGAAGGAGAAGACUGUUCCUGCUGGUGGAAGCCUUCUUUCAUGCUGCAUUCCAUAAGGCAUUCUGAAACCUUCAGAGUUGUUGCCAACUGCAUCAGCCGGAGGAAGUCCAGUGGAAGGUGUAUGAAGUAGCUGGGGCAGGUUAGUACUCUGCCACACUAAGGCUGGGGAGCAAGCAUGGUGGGCACUCCUUGCCAAGAUGGCCAGGCUGGGGAGCUGUGGCUGUGGCACCAGUCUGGGAACAUAAGUA
ensembl:lncRNA